rnacentral:rRNA from 1 species
GAUGAACGCUGGCGGCGUGCCUAAUACAUGCAAGUCGAGCGAACAGACGAGGAGCUUGCUCCUUCGACGUUAGCGGCGGACGGGUGAGUAACACGUAUGUCACCUCCCUAUAAGACUGGGAUAACUUCGGGAAACCGGAGCAUAUACCGGAUGAUAUUUCGAACCGCAUGGUUCGAUAGUGAAAGAUGGCUUUGCUAUCACUUAUAGCUGGUCCUGCGCCGUAUUAGCUAGUUGGUAAGGUAACGGCUUACCAAGGCAACGAUACGUAGCCGACCUGAGAGAGGGAUAGGCGACACGGGAACUGAGACACGGUCCAGACUCCUACGGGAGGGAGCAGUAGGGAAUCUUCCGCAAUGGGCGAAAGCCUGACGGAGCAACGCCGCGUGAGAGAUGAAGGUCUUCGGAUCGUAAAACUCUGUUAUUAGUGAAGAACAAACGUGUAAGUAACUGUGCACGUCGUGACGGUACCGAAUCAGAAAGCCACGGCUAACUACGUG